GGCCGAAUGGCCGAGUGGUCUAAGGCGGCGCACUCAAGUUGCGUUCUUCGGGCGUGGGUUCGAAUCCCACUUCGGUCA
rnacentral:tRNA from 1 species